rnacentral:tRNA from 1 species
AUAUUAGUAGUAUAAUUUAAUACUCCCCCUUUCCAAGGGGGUUAUCUCACUGAGCUAAUGUA